UAAUAUUAUGGAAGAUGCCUUGAGUAGGAUGACCAUUCACCUACCAUCUUUGAUGAUUUAAGGGUUGGAUUUGAUUGAAGAACUUAGAGACUUAAGCGUGAUGUGUGAGCUCACCCUUAGAAGCAUUGAAUUUAGUAUGUUGAAAAUGACUAAUGAAUUAAUGGACGAGAUUAGAGAAGCCUAGGAGUUAGAUCCUUU